UACGUAGGGUGCGAGCGUUAAUCGGAAUUACUGGGCGUACAGGGUGCGUAGGCGGUUUGUUAAUUCUGUCGUGAAAUCCCCGGGCUCAACCUGGGAAUGGCGAUGGAUACUGGCUCGCUAGAGUGCGGUAGAGGAGAGUGGAAUUCCCGGUGUAGCAGUGAAAUGCGUAGAGAUCGGGAGGAACAUCAGUUGCGAAGGCGGCUCUCUGGACCAGCACUGACACUGAGGCACGAAAGCGUGGGGAGCAAACAGG
rnacentral:rRNA from 1 species